UUUUUUUAUCAACGUACUCAGCGCGAUAUCCUCCAGUACCAUACUGCAUGGGAUAAGAAUGCACUUUGGCAAACUUAUCGGAUUCUCGAACAAUUGCCGUUACAAAUUCAUUUACAAUCGAAUCGCUGUCUUCAGCAUCAGACAUAGUGGGGAAAAUAUCGAUACAGAAGUCUGACGAUCCUUUGUAAAAAAAACUUGUUAAAGUAUCGAAACUAUGAAUGGAAGAAGAACGAAGUCACUUAAGCCUAAGCUUCGAGAAAACAGGUUGACCUCAAAGCUCUCUUAAUAAAAAAGUACACUUAAGAAGUUAAGAGAUAUGACUUUGUGUUCUCAAGAUAUAUUCGAGUCCCGAAUAAGCACUGGAUUGCUACUAAGUUGAUGCCAAACGCGUCAACUAUCACCAAACUAUGGCAAUUUAAAUAUCGCGGAAUAAUGAACUGCGUAAUACAUAUUCGUUAUUAGAAGGAAAUUUGGGAAUAGUUUAACGUCUACGAAGUUAAUAAAAGCUUCACAUAUUUCCUCUUUCUUUAUUACAUAAAUAUUUAUCAAUUUGGUUUUCAUCGCUUGGGUUAUGUUCGAAGUUGCUAAAUAAACAACUUAGUUGGUUGACUCAAUAGUUAACUCUGUAAAUUAGCUACAAAAUAGCAGAAAGACACCUCAACGUUUUUUACAAUUAUUAUGAAAAGCUAUGAAAUUUAAUGUGAAUAAACUAGAUGAAAAGAAACGACUAAAUGAACCAACGAAAAGGUAUUAAAAAAUAGUAUUUCGUAUUAGAUUUAAUUGAUUAACACAAUGUGGUCAGUAAUAUACAGAGAAUGUAUGCAUGUUUGCUUUAAACAAUAGAACAAACGGAUUGUAAUAAUUGAGAGGACAAGAUCGAAAAUGAACGACCUGAAAAUCGUUCAUCACUAGGGAAU